GCAGCAGAAAACCCUGGUAAACAAGCAAAAAUGGCCGCGGUCAACUUUACCAAUCUGACAACGGAGAGGAGGAACAACCACCGCAAUCGUGAGCAUUAGCACAACGUUUCAGUGUUGCAGGAGAAUGAAUCUGCUGCCUGUUCCUUUUACCAAAAACAUCCAGGACUGUUUAAACCCAUAUACACUUCAAAACAUCCACAACAUCUUCAGAGGAGAAAAUCACAGAGAACUGCAGAAGAGCUGUGCAGACACUUGGCAGCUCAUCGCAGCUUUGUGAGCCGGUGCUGGAGAUACCAUCACAAUGCAAAUACAGACUUGCUGUCUGUGAUGCAUAACUAUGCAAACUACAAUACAAAAAGCUAAAAUCAGCAAUCAUGUAAUGAAAUCACAGUUUUCUGAUAUUCUUGCUCAGAUUUCAGCAGUUGGACAUUUCUUUAGGUGUGUGUGCGUACCUUUGCUUGUCCCUUAGUGUACCCCAGGCCAACUGUGUGUGGACUGAUGACCCCUUUGGAUGUAGGUAUGUCUGUGUGGCCUCUGGGACUUGUGGGGAGUCUGUCUGCCACCCAACGUGAUCAUGAAACCUUGGUACACUCGUUAGGAUACUGGAGCUUGUUGUCUGUGUAAUCUGCUGUGAUGUACUCUAAAAAAAGAGACAGAAAAAAUGGAAAUUUAGCAUGGCAAUCUGACGUGAAUCAGAAAUGCACUGUCUUCUUGUUCAUAGCUAAAUAUUUAGACCACACAUCUUUCAAAAAAAUGUGCCUGCUGCACACAUCUUUAUGUUUCUCGUGUUAUUGCAUAGCAUAUAUAUAUAUAUAUAUAUAUAUAUAUAUAUAUAUAUAUAUGUAUAUAUGUAUAUGUGUUAAUCCGUUCGUUUGCAGUCAGUGCUAUGAUUAAACAACACCACCUGAACACUGGCCGAGCUGUUUAGAUCAAUUGUCAAUACUUUAGCAUACUUCUGGCUUACUACAUCGAUAAAAAAUCACCACGUAAAAAAGAAGUUUUACGCAGAGGUGGAUAAGAAAGUGGAAAGAGGAUAACAACAGCUGUGUUAGCCGGGAAGUGAGCAGAGUCUUAUAAAGCUCAGAUCCUGCAACAAAGCGGAUUUUACAUUCAUUAGACCGUCUCGAACCAUGUUAGCCGAGGCUUACAGUUCAGCUACAGCCAGCCUCCACAGAACUAAUGCAUCCAUAGCAGCUCAAAAGUUGUUUUCAAACAAAUAAAAAAGACAAUAAAUGAAGCGUA